rnacentral:tRNA from 1 species
UUAGCAUGCAAGAGGCACGGGGAUCGAUACCCCGGUCUUCCA